UACGAAGGGGGCGAGCGUUGUUCGGAAUUACUGGGCGUAAAGGGCGCGUAGGCGGUCCUUCAAGUCAGGCGUGAAAGCCCCGGGCUCAACCUGGGAACCGCGCUUGAGACUGGCGGACUCGAAUUCGGGAGAGGAUGGUGGAAUUCCCAGUGUAGAGGUGAAAUUCGUAGAUAUUGGGAAGAACACCGAUGGCGAAGGCAGCCAUCUGGACCGACACUGACGCUGAGGCGCGAAAGCGUGGGGAGCAAACAGG
rnacentral:rRNA from 1 species